CGCUCGUUGGUCUAGGGGUAUGAUUCCUGCUUAGGGUGCAGGAGGUCCCCAGGAGGUCCCGGGUUCAAAUCCCGGACGAGCCCUA